rnacentral:rRNA from 1 species
UACGUAGGUGGCAAGCGUUGUCCGGAUUUAUUGGGUUUAAAGGGUGCGUAGGCGGCCCUGUAAGUCAGUGCUGAAAUAUCCCGGCUUAACCGGGAGGGUGGCAUUGAUACUGCGGGGCUAGAGUACAGAUGAGGUAGGCGGAAUUGACAGUAUAGCGGUGAAAUGCUUAGAUAUCGUCAAGAACACCUAUAGCGAAGGCAGCUUACUAGGCUGUAACUGACGCUGAGGCACGAAAGUGUGGGGAUCAAACAGG